AGAGGUAAUUAGACGGGCCUGACUAUCUAGCAGUUAUGUUGGCAAGACUAAUGGGGUGGUACUACUGCCACUGAAGACUUCAUUUGCUUAGAGUGACUCAUUGAGUAUGGAUGACAAAUUAUACACUGGAAAACCUGCUUGUCCUUUUUGAUGGCAUUUAAUAUUCAAAGUCCAGUACUGUGUGUCCAUGCAACAGAAAGCAGCCAUGUGACUAACGAUACAAUCACCCAGGGUUUGAGAGAAGCGAAAAAGGCACCUGCAUAAUUUUCUUCUCAUCCCUGCUCCUGGCCUCUUCCCCUUCUGGUUACCUUGAUUCAUCUUUUGCCUAAAAAGGGAAAGCAAAGAGAACAAUGAUUUGGAAACAGCUGUACGUGGUUCAUGAGAUCCCCAAACCCAUCCACGCACAGGGUGGGAAGCAUCAGAUGUGAAACAUGGGUGACCUACCAUCAUCACCUCAAGACCCUAGAAAGGUAUCGCCUACAAUGCCCCUGGAAAAUCCUCAGCAUCAAAUGGGAAGAUUGCCAUACAAAUGCCAACAUCCUUGCUAAAAACAAUAUUACCAGCAUUGAGUCAGUAAUCCUCAAGCAUCAGCUUUGCUGGAUCGAAUAUUGUGUGUGGAUGUUUGACUCUCAAUUCCCAGAGCAAGUGCUCUAUUUCCAGCUUAGGUGUGGACUGAAGUCGCACAGUAACUACAGGAAAUGCUUCCUGGACACAUCAAAGGCAUACCUCAAUACAGUGGACCCCAACAUCAAAAGCUAGGAGGAGCUGGCUGCUAACCAAUUCCAGUGGCACCACAACCUCAGCCAAACAUCAGCCUACUUCAAGGUAAAGUAUCUUGCCAUCAAAACAUAGAAAAGAAAGCAGAGGAAGAAAAAGAAAAGAAAUCCCAGCCUGUGGCUUACUCUUCCUGCAAAAAGACCUGCACAACUUCUGUGGGCAGAUCUGUGGCUCAAGAGUCAGACUCUUAAGACACCUCAGGACCCAUCAAUGAGCCAUGGUAGAGAUCAUCCUUGAAUCAAGGGAUUGCUGAUGAGUAUCUGGUCUCCUUUUGAGUAGUCUUAUUCACAAGCAAGGGACCUAAUCUUGUGCUUUAUGGUUUGGGAUUCAUCAUGUCCAUGCCCAAAUUUGCAUAUUUCUAGUUGUAGUAAGACA